rnacentral:rRNA from 1 species
UGAAUCAUCGAGGACCACCUCGAAAGGCUAAAUACUCCUACGUGACCGAUAGAGAA